AUUGAACGCUGGCGGCAGGCCUAACACAUGCAAGUCGAGCGGAUGAAGGGAGCUUGCUCCUGGAUUCAGCGGCGGACGGGUGAGUAAUGCCUAGGAAUCUGCCUGGUAGUGGGGGAUAACGUCCGGAAACGGGCGCUAAUACCGCAUACGUCCUGAGGGAGAAAGUGGGGGAUCUUCGGACCUCACGCUAUCAGAUGAGCCUAGGUCGGAUUAGCUAGUUGGUGGGGUAAAGGCCUACCAAGGCGACGAUCCGUAACUGGUCUGAGAGGAUAAUCAGUCACACUGGAACGGAGACACGGUCCAGACUCCUACGGGAGGCAGCAGUGGGGAAUAUGGGACAAUGGGCGAAAGCCUGAUCCAGCCGUGCCGCGUGUGUGAAGAAGGUCUUCGGAGUGUAAAGCACGUUAAGUUGGGAGGAAGGGCAGUAAGUUAAUACCUUGCUGUUUUGACGUUACCAACAGAAUAAGCACCGGCUAACUUCGUG
rnacentral:rRNA from 1 species